ensembl:lncRNA
GAGCUAUAGGAGGGCAGGCUCAUUAUUAUGGCUGUUUAUAGACUCAAUCAGGCAACGCAAUUUUAUUCCCCUGUUUUCUAGUGUAAUACUUUUUGAAUCACUUCAGUUUGAUAAAACAACCUGUAGGUCGAAACGUUUGCAGUUAAGUGUACACCUAUCAGGCCCCCGAGGACUGGAAUUACCCAGGCCUGCCGGGUUUAGGGUAGGGACGUCACACGGAUCCCAGAUAGCACUGACCGUCUCAGCUAUUGGCAACUGUAAUCAAGGGCGAGAGAGGGAGAGAGAGAGAGGAUAGUUACACCUGCUUGGCCUAUCAUUUUAAAGCCCUGUGCUGGGCUCCAGAGGGGCGCGCCACCGGGGUGGAGCCACUGCUGAAGUUCACCUGAUACAACUUUGAUCUUCACCAGCGGGGGUGGAGAUGAUUUUAUUUAAGAAAAUUAGCAAUCAGCCAUCUUGCAGAGCCUGAUUGUCUCCCUCUGUAAAUCAAUCCAGGAGCUGCAAUUAAAAGCAAAUGAUGUCGCUGGUCUGCUUUCUGCUGGAGUAAAGUGCUUCCAGAAUGUCACACACUGCCCAGAAUCUGAGGUACCGCCAGCCACAUAAGCAGAGAGGAAAUUGAAGACCGGGGGUGUGCUGAAUAGGAGUUGUGUGCAUCCUGCAGAAACUGGAAAGUUCAGUUUGCAUGUGUUCCCCACAUCCAGCUGGAAAUGCCACAGCUAUGCAGGUGGAAACAUUAAAAGUUUAUGAUCAUUUGGCAAUUGUUCUCUGCCUUUCCCAUAACCUUGACAGACAGUUCCAGUCACACGCUGUCUUGCCCACAGUCACCCUCAUGUAUAC